CAAACAGUGAAUGUUAAAGAAAAGGCUUUUGAAAACCGAGGGAGUAACAAACAGCCACAGUGAUGGGUAACUUUUCAGAUUUGCUGUUCCAAAUAUCUAUUCGGUUAUAAAAAUUUCAGUACGGUUAUGAAUACAGUGCAUUAUUCUUCACUGUAUUGUAUUGCUGAAAUGUUUUCUCAUAUUUUUAGGAAACCCAGUAUCCCCACAGACAUCCUCAGCUGUUCAUCAUGAUGCAGGUGAUGUACUGAUCGUUUCAGCAGUAUCCAGAUGUGACAACAAUCCUCGGUUACUCAACGACAUCUAAGCGCUGGGAAAUAAAUGGACACUGUGAUCUCACUAGUAGAUGGUAUUUGCAGCUCAGUUGUGUGCUGGUCCUGGACACGGAACGCUGUGUAUUGUAUUGUGAAAGGUGUCUCGCACGUGGUGAAUUCUGGGGCCUGCUCACGGAUUCUAAUUCACGGGACCCCGGGGCUCCUGGAAAUGAUCUCUUCUCUGGAUUAUACGUCAUGUUGUACAGUCACAUCACACACUGACACCAGGUCUGGUCUCCAAAACGAGAGCUUGAAUCAGAGAUGAUACCAAGCGUGGAGAAGCAGACCCCUAAAGAGAGCAGUCCGGAGCGUUCCCCCCUCCUCCGUGAGUGUCCUUGCUUGAGUAUUUUCAUCAUUUUAUCUCGGCUGAAUGUUACGCUUACAAUGCCGAGAAAAGGUCCGUGUUUUUUUCCCUACAUGUUUCCGUGUAGGAAAACCAGAUGCAAAACCUUCAGCUUAACGUCUUUUUUGUUUUGCGUAAAAAAGAUGAUAAUAAAGGUGUGGAGUGAAAUGAGAAUAAGAAAGUGUUUCGAUCGUUGGACGCAAACUUUCCCGUUAACAUGAGCUGAUAAUAACACUGAUAAUAAUUUACUCAAUUAAACCGCAAAGUCGAGGGAAAAAUGUGGGAAUCUCACGGAACCCCAGCGUGAUUGUCACUGUGUGUUUAUCCCAUCGCAGCUGUCUGCCAGUUUCAGGCUCGUCUCCAGAGAAGUGGUCCCGUCAUUAAUGCGGCCCCCACUUGGUGCUGUAUUCAAGGACUUCACCUGGCUCGUGGGCCUUUCACUUACUCGUGGAAGUCUGUUUUCGGUUUUCUGUGUGUUGUUCUCCACAGGAGGUGCUCUCAAGCUGUCAUUCGAGCCCUCGGUGACGCUGGAGCAGGUAGAGAGCGAGAACCAGGAGGUCGUGGUGGGUCAGUAAUACGCCAACACAGCGUUGCCAUCCUUAUUCCAUACAGAAACAGAGAGAAGCACCUGCUCUACUUCCUUUAUCACCGUCACCCUUUCCUACAGAGACAGCAGCUUCAUUACACCAUCUACGUCAUUCAUCGGGAAACCCAGUAUCCCCACAGACAUCCUCAGCUGUUCAUCAUGAUGCAGGUGAUGUACUGAUCGUUUCAGCAGUAUCCAGAUGUGACAACAAUCCUCGGUUACUCAACGACAUCUAAGCGCUGGGAAAUAAAUGGAAACUGUGAUCUCACUAGUAGAUGGUAUUUGCAGCUCAGUUGUGUGCUGGUCCUGGACACGGAACGCUGUGUAUUGUAUUGUGAAAGGUGUCUCGCACGUGGUGAAUUCUGGGGCCUGCUCACGGAUUCUAAUGUAAGUACAGUGGGAAGUUGGUAAACACGAGGAAAGGAAAACCGUGUUGGUAUCGAUUUCAUGCCUGCUUUCUGAGUAUCACUAAUUAUUUCUUAUAUAGGAAAUGCCUUCAUGAAACUGAUCCCUGAUGAGCUCGACAACACGUAUGUAGUGUGAAGGACUAAAAGCUUAAAUUAACAAUACAGCUGUUACUGUUUUCUGUUAUAGCAGAAUGAAAUGAUUAAAUUGAUGUUAAAACACUACAUGCUGUGACGGUAAGUGUGGAGGUGGCCAAUGAUGAUGAGUUCAACAAAACUGCUGUCAUGGCUUCAGUCUGACCAGAGAUGUGCGUAUCAGGAAGAGAAUGUUUUUGGUGACUUAAAGCUACACAUAUAACCUGUGUUGUUUUGGUGGUGUAUCUUUUGAAGUGGUACUUGGUGUAAAAAGUUCAAGAACCGCUGCGUUAUAAUAUUGUCUAUGUUUAAAUGUGUUUUUUUUUCUAUAGGGCAAAGACAUUUACAUAGAGGAUGUGUCUGUUGUUUCACAAGGCAACAUCAUUGACCACUUUCCAAUGAGUGUAUAUACUGUUAAAAUAUGUAUGUGUUCACAGAGAUGUAGACCUGCAUAAUAAGAUUUUGUGUUGCAACAUACUCAAUAAAGCAUGGUUAAAAAAAUGUUUUCGUUUUUUUCUAUUUUUAUUCUAUUUAUGUUAUAUUGUAAUUUUCUUUUUAAAUAAGUAAAAUGUCGUGUAAUCCAGGAUAAUCCUUGUGUUUUACCUCUUUCCACCCGUCUGAUUGUGAUCUUGUGACUACAAAUAACAUGAUUCCAUCCUUAUUUUACAUUCUUUAUAUUACAAUAACAAUUAAAACGAGUAAUUUAAAUAAUAAAAAUGAACAGCUCAAUAAGCAUCACUUAUCAACUAAAUUGAAUUGAAACGAGAGCGUAUCUGAGUGAAAUAAACAGAAGUCGUUAGUAGUUGGUGGGGUUUCUGCUUUGGUUGCACGUGUUUAUGCUAUAAGAAAAUGGUAUUAGAAGUUUGUUCCUGAAACUGCAGCAUCCAGUUCGGUAGGUGGCGCUAACACCAUUGAAAACCAGCGCAGGCACUUAACGCGCGCUUCCGCCCCGUGGCCUGUAGUUGAAUUACUGCAGCUGUGACUUCUGAGGAGGAACUCAAACAGUUUUGUUGUUACUGUGGAUUAUGCGCUUGGCUUUUAUAUCAUAUUCAAGACUCGAUGCUUCUAUUGUAAGUAAAUGAUGUCUUACACAGACUUCUGUGCUCGCAACGAAUCUGUCUUUGGUUUAAUUGCGUACGUCAGUGUAAUCGGACAGACUUUGCAAAUCAAGUGCACACGGAGACGUUUUGGGAAACCUAAAAGAUUCCUGUAAUCCGGCCUACAUGCUGUUUACAGUGAGAAAUAAUACAUAUAUAAAAGACGACUGCUAUUUAAAUAGCAUCCCGUUUUGCUGUAACUCGCGCGCUGUUGAAUCUCCUCUCCUACAAUGUCAUGAAUGACUCCAGACUUCUCCAGUCUUGUUGUCACACUGUAAAGCUAGGUUUUUAUAAAGAAAAUACACGUUAUUUUAGUAAUAUAUUCAAAACAAUAUAUGAAUUGUAAAAGAUAUUGCUAGGUCUGCUGUUGGAGCCUUGCCAUUGGCUGUUGUUUUGCAUAAUUAGUUCACGUACGUCUUUGCAGGGCU